UACGUAGGGUGCGAGCGUUGUCCGGAAUUAUUGGGCGUAAAGAGCUCGUAGGCGGUCUGUCGCGUCGGUCGUGAAAACCUGCAGCUUAACUGUGGGCGUGCGGUCGAUACGGGCAUGACUGGAGUUCGGCAGGGGAGACUGGAAUUCCUGGUGUAGCGGUGAAAUGCGCAGAUAUCGUGGAGAACACCCGUGGCGAAGGCGGGUUUCUGGCUGAUUACUGACGCUGAGGUGCGAAAGCUAGGGGAGCGAACGGG
rnacentral:rRNA from 1 species